rnacentral:rRNA from 1 species
AGCAUGGUCUUAGCUUGCUAAGGCCGAUGGCGACCGGCGCACGGGUGAGUAACACGUAUCCAACCUGCCGUCUACUCUUGGACAGCCUUCUGAAAGGAAGAUUAAUACAAGAUGGCAUCAUGAGUCCGCAUGUUCACAUGAUUAAAGGUAUUCCGGUAGACGAUGGGGAUGCGUUCCAUUAGAUAGUAGGCGGGGUAACGGCCCACCUAGUCUUCGAUGGAUAGGGGUUCUGAGAGGAAGGUCCCCCACAUUGGAACUGAGACACGGUCCAAACUCCUACGGGAGGCAGCAGUGAGGAAUAUUGGUCAAUGGGCGAGAGCCUGAACCAGCCAAGUAGCGUGAAGGAUGACUGCCCUAUGGGUUGUAAACUUCUUUUAUAAAGGAAUAAAGUCGGGUAUGGAUACCCGUUUGCAUGUACUUUAUGAAUAAGGAUCGGCUAACUCCGUGCCAGCAGCCGCGGUAAUACGGAGGAUCCGAGCGUUAUCCGGAUUUAUUGGGUUUAAAGGGAGCGUAGAUGGAUGUUUAAGUCAGUUGUGAAAGUUUGCGGCUCAACCGUAAAAUUGCAGUUGAUACUGGAUAUCUUGAGUGCAGUUGAGGCAGGCGGAAUUCGUGGUGUAGCGGUGAAAUGCUUAGAUAUCACGAAGAACUCCGAUUGCGAAGGCAGCCUGCUAAGCUGCAACU